AAUAAAUGUGUAGCUUCAUUGUCAUUUUCUCUUUUUUAGCAGAAACAGCCUGCACAACUGAGAACAAGUAAUGGAAGGUUUCAUGGCUAUAGAGAUGACUAAGAUAGCUCAAGAGCUGUAUGUUGUGCAAAGGAAUUGGAGCAAUUCUUAGAAAUUUUCCUCAAAUGACCAAGAGAUGAUAGAGGCUUUGUUGAGGCAAUAACCUGAAAAACUCUUAUAAGCAGGGGAAAGCAGGCGUUCCAGGUGGCUGGAAAGAUUUGAGAGGUGAGAGGCGGCUUUCAGGAGCUGGUUGCCUGCAGAACAUGGGCAUUCUGCAAAGUGAGGACUGGGAAGGGUGGCAAAAGAAAUGUCUGCUUGUGUGUGGGAUCAGAACACAGGUUGCAUUACCAAAUUUUUGAGCCCCCAGGAGAGUCAACUGUGAAGAUGACAGACACCUUGCUCGUUGCUGUGCUCUCACUGUGUGCUGUGGCUCCUUUGCUCUUUGACGCUGGGUCUAGCUGGUGUUUAAGACGUUCAAAUGAUGGAAGAAGUGCAUGUGUAGGUGGACUUAUAGAACUAUGUAAAUAUCUCUGAGAUUUGGGAUAUUGAGGACUCCUUUUUCUGGUCCCUGCUUACAGCUUGACACAACAUCAGCUCUAGUAG